rnacentral:rRNA from 1 species
GAUGAACGCUGGCGGCGUGCUUAACACAUGCAAGUCGAACGGUGAACGAGGGAGCUUGCUCCCUCCGGAUCAGUGGCGAACGGGUGAGUAACACGUGAGCAAUCUGCCCUGGACUCUGGGAUAAGCGUUGGAAACGACGUCUAAUACCGGAUACGAGACGUGAAGGCAUCUUCAACGUCUGGAAAGAACUUCGGUCCAGGAUGAGCGCGCGGCCUAUCAGGUAGUUGGUGAGGUAAUGGCUCACCAAGCCUACGACGGGUAGCCGGCCUGAGAGGGUGACCGGCCACACUGGGACUGAGACACGGCCCAGACUCCUACGGGAGGCAGCAGUGGGGAAUAUUGCACAAUGGGCGCAAGCCUGAUGCAGCAACGCCGCGUGAGGGACGACGGCCUUCGGGUUGUAAACCUCUUUUAGCAGGGAAGAAGCGAAAGUGACGGUACCUGCAGAAAAAGCACCGGCUAACUCUGUGCCAGCAGCCGCGGUAACAC